rnacentral:rRNA from 1 species
UACAGAGGUCCCAAGCGUUGUUCGGAUUCAUUGGGCGUAAAGGGUGCGUAGGCGGCGCGGGAAGUCGGGUGUGAAAUCUCGGAGCUUAACUCCGAAACUGCAUUCGAUACUGCCGUGCUUGAGGACUGGAGAGGAGACUGGAAUUUCCGGUGUAGCGGUGAAAUGCGUAGAUAUCGGAAGGAACAUCAGUGGCGAAAGCGGCUUCCUGGACCAGCACCGACGUUCAGGCACGAAAGCGUGGGGAGCAAACAGG